rnacentral:rRNA from 1 species
UACGAAGGGGGCUAGCGUUGCUCGGAAUCACUGGGCGUAAAGGGUGCGUAGGCGGGUCUUUAAGUCAGGGGUGAAAUCCUGGAGCUCAACUCCAGAACUGCCUUUGAUACUGAAGAUCUUGAGUUCGGGAGAGGUGAGUGGAACUGCGAGUGUAGAGGUGAAAUUCGUAGAUAUUCGCAAGAACACCAGUGGCGAAGGCGGCUCACUGGCCCGAUACUGGACGCUGAGGCACGAAAGCGUGGGGAGCAA